rnacentral:rRNA from 1 species
UUCUUUGUAUAGGGAUAAAUCUACCCUCGUGAGGGGUAGCUGAAGGUACUAUACGAAUAAGCACCGGCUAACUCCGUGCCAGCAGCCGCGGUAAUACGGAGGGUGCAAGCGUUAUCCGGAUUAUUGGGUUUAAAGGGUCCGUAGGCGGACUUAUAAGUCAGUGGUGAAAUCCUGUCGCUUAACGAUAGAACUGCCAUUGAUACUGUAAGUCUUGAGUAUAUUUGAGGUAGCUGGAAUAAGUAGUGUAGCGGUGAAAUGCAUAGAUAUUACUUAGAACACCAAUUGCGAAGGCAGGUUACCAAGAUAUAACUGACGCUGAGGGACGAAAGCGUGGGUAGCGAACAGGAUUAGAUACCCUGGUAG